GAUGAACGCUGGCGGCGUGCCUAACACAUGCAAGUCGAGCGAUCUCUUCUGAGAGAGCGGCGGACGGGUGAGUAACGCGUGGGUAACCUGCCCUGUACACACGGAUAACAUACCGAAAGGUAUACUAAUACGGGAUAACAUACGAAAGUCGCAUGGCUUUUGUAUCAAAGCUCCGGCGGUACAGGAUGGACCCGCGUCUGAUUAGCUAGUUGGUAAGGUAAUGGCUUACCAAGGCAACGAUCAGUAGCCGACCUGAGAGGGUGAUCGGCCACACUGGAACUGAGACACGGUCCAGACUCCUACGGGAGGCAGCAGUGGGGAAUAUUGCACAAUGGGCGGAAGCCUGAUGCAGCAACGCCGCGUGAGCGAUGAAGGCCUUCGGGUCGUAAAGCUCUGUCCUCAAGGAAGAUAAUGACGGUACUUGAGGAGGAAGCCCCGGCUAACUACGUGCCAGCAGCCGCAGUAACAC
rnacentral:rRNA from 1 species